AACGAACGCUGGCGGCAGGCUUAACACAUGCAAGUCGAACGCCCCGCAAGGGGAGUGGCAGACGGGUGAGUAACGCGUGGGAACGUACCCCAAGGUUCGGAACAACGCCGGGAAACUGGCGCUAAUACCGGAUGUGACCGUGAGGUGAAAGAUUUAUCGCCUUGGGAUCGGCCCGCGUUAGAUAGGUAGUUGGUGGGGUAAUGGCCCACCAAGCCUACGAUCUAUAGCUGGUAUGAGAGGAUGCUCAGCCACACUGGGACUGAGACACGGCCCAGACUCAUACGGGAGGCAGCAGUGGGGAAUCUUGGACAAUGGGCGCAAGCCUGAUCCAGCCAUGCCGCGUGAAUGAUGAAGGCCUUAGGGUUGUAAAAUUCUUUCGUCAGGGACGAUAAUGACGGUACCUGAAGAAGAAGCCCCGGCUAACUUCGUGCCAGCAGCCGCGGUAA
rnacentral:rRNA from 1 species